rfam:Macrostomum lignano uti_cns_0007929, whole genome shotgun sequence.
AAAACGGCCCUUUUCAGGGCCACCACAUUUACGUGAUGUCUUGUUCG